UCAGGGAGGACCAGGGGGGUGCCACGGAUGACCAGGCCUGAGUGUCUGAGGAGUUUUGUCUGCGGCUCGUCCUGCUGCGUGGGAACUGAGUUUGCACUUGAGUCUCAGAAGGACAGAAACAUCAAAGGUAUAGCAACCCUCUCACACAGGCUGGUCCCUCUGAAGCCUGCCUGGGUUCACAGAAUGGUCCCCCUUCCCGGGGCCCCUGGUGUGUUCUCUUUCUCCUUUGUCGCCUGCUGACGUUGAGAAAUGCAAGACUCCUGUUCUGAUGCUCUGACCCUGGAUUUCCAUUUAUAAUAAAUAAAUGAAAAUGCGUUAUAAAUUA